rnacentral:rRNA from 2 species
AGCAGCCGCGGUAAUUCCAGCUCCAAUAGCGUAUAUUAAAGUUGUUGCAGUUAAAAAGCUCGUAGUUGAACUUCGGGGUUUACCCAUUGGUCAGGCUUAAUUGUCUGUACUGGUGAGAUAAAUCUCUACCUUCUGAGGAACUUUCAUGUCAUUAAUUUGGUGUGAUUGGAAAUCAGGACUGUUACUUUGAAAAAUUAGAGUGUUUAAAGCAGGCUAACGUCUGAAUACAUUAGCAUGGAAUAAUGAAAUAGGACGGACUGAUUCUAUUUCGUUGGUUUCUAGGAUCACCGUAAUGAUUAAUAGGGAUAGUUGGGGGCAUUAGUAUUCAAUUGUCAGAGGUGAAAUUCUUGGAUUUAUUGAAGACUAACUACUGCGAAAGCAUUUGCCAAGGAUGUUUUCAUUAAUCAAGAACGAAAGUUAGGGGAUCGAAGACGAUCAGAUACCGUCGUA